UAUUCAAAGAUUUUAAUAACCUCCAUAACAUCUUCAAUGUUAUACUCUAAAUAUAAGCUAUUUGAAU
rnacentral:tRNA from 1 species